ensembl:lncRNA
GGACAAAGUACAAAGGCACUUGGGUUUUGCCAUCUGCGUGUUCUCUGGACAAUCUCCUUGGUCCUCAUUUCUGGGAGAAAACUCUUCCCCCACUCCCUUGUAAGGUUUCAUUCUUGAAGGAAAGCAGCAACACAACUUCAUCAGUAAAUUUCCCCACUGGAAUUGGUUCAUCCUUUAAUGCCUCUGGGAAAUCCCUAGCUGGGGAUGUCCUGCUCUCUGCUGAGAGACAGCAGGAAAGUUGGACAACUAGGUGCCCAUGACCAACUUGUCAUUGUGGAUGGAUUUAGUCUGGUUGGACUUUCUCAGGAAAGGCAGCUGAACUCAUGACUAGUACCAGUUCCAUGGUUACCCUGGAAGUUGCAAAUCAAGGCAUCCUCUCUCACUUCCUGUCCACCUUUCUUACCCAGACAUUUUCCUCCAUGGUGCAGAGAGGUAAGAGCUAGUGACUCAAGCCAGGUUAGCCAACAUAUAGUAAUCCUGUAUUGAGAUAUGGCUCCUCCUAAAAGUUAUCAAAAUCUGGGGCUGGAAAGAUGGUUCAGUAUUUUACAACACCAGUGUUAGCUCACAACUGCCUAAACCUCUAAUUUCAGGGGAUUUGAAACCUUCUUCUAAGUUCUUUGGACACCAGUCAAGCAUUCAUGUGCACACAUGCUGGGCAAACACUCAUACACAUAAAUUAUUUUUAUAAAGAGAGGCCCUAAAAGUCCCAUGUAGUAGCUCCUACCACAGCUCUUGCUCAGCUCUUCAAGGAAGAAGUUAGUUGAGACUGAGUGCAUGAUGCUGAGAAAUACUUCUGGAUCAUGAUUCAGAUCAGAUCGGAUGGUACAGUUUCCUAGAUAUAUUCACAGUCUGUUAGGUGCAGUAUUGUGAACCCUCUUCUGACCCUGACUCAGCUGUGGAACCUGCACACCCUAGCCCUGACCUUUGUAGCUAGAGUAUCAACAACAGUAUCAGUAUCUGACAGCCUAGAAUCCUCUUUACUAAAGCGUAGAACAGGAAACAAUCCUGGCUAGACCAUGUGUUGGCAUGUUAAAGCAGAACACCAUUUACAAACACAAAGAGGGACGUGGGUAACGAAUGAGUCCCAGGUGAGCAGACAGGAAGACUAAACUGUGAACAGGUGUGGAUAAUGACACCAGGUGACAGCACCAUGUGAUGCUGUCAUUCUGAUGGAUAAUAAUAUGUGUGUUAUCAGGUGAGAGAAGAGAAGUUGAGUGCUUUUUAAAAAAUAAUCUAAAAAAGGUUACUUUGUUAUUUACAAAUUAGAAUUCAGGUGUUGAGAAAAAAUAAGUUGUUUCCCCCAUAGAUACUUACUAAUUAAAUGAAAUGUUUUUCUAGACACAAUAUAUGUAAAAGCUUUUGAAAAUGUUCACAUAAAGCUACUUGUGUUGG